rnacentral:rRNA from 1 species
AAGUAAAAGUCGUAACAAGGUUUCCGUAGGUGAACCUGCGGAAGGAUCAUUAUCGUACAAUGGAGGUGCUGGGGUUGUCGCUGACUUUUGAAAGGGUCGUGCACACCUCGGUGCUCUCUCACAUAAUCCAUCUCACCCCUUUUGUGCAUCACCGCGUGGGGACCCCUUUUGGCUAGUUCUGAGGGGGGUUUUCACGUUUUUACACAGACACCCUUUUAAUGCAAUGUGUAGAAUGUCUUACUUUUUGCGAUCACACGCAAUCAAUACAACUUUCAACAACGGACGUAUGUGAAUUGCAGAAUUCAGUGAAUCAUCGAAUCUUUGAACGCACCUUGCGCCCUUUGGCAUUCCGAGGGGCACACCCGUUUGAGUGUCGUGACAUCCUCAAAACCUUCUUGGUUUCUUGACCAGGAAGGCUUUUGGACUUUGGAGGCUUUUGCUGGCCUUCCUUUGUUGGAGCCAGCUCCUCUGAAAUGAAUUAGUGGGGUCUGCUUUGCCGAUCCUUGACGUGAUAAGAUGUUUUCUACGUCUUGGGUUUCGCACUGUUCGAUCUGGAUCCUGCUUCUAACUGUCUCAUAGAAGACAAUGGUCAAGUGAUUGCCACUUGACCCACAAACCUUGACCUCAAAUCGGGUGAGACUACCCGCUGAACUUAAGCAUAUCAAUAAGCGGAGGAAGG